CAGUCUCCACUCCUCCAAAAAAUCAUUAAAAACCCACUUCUUCAUAAAAGCAUAUGAAUUUUAAAGCAUCCAAGUGAUUCAUUUCUUGCAACUGUCAUUAGUCUAAUACUAUCCUUACCUUUUGUGUCACUUUACCCCACUCCCUCUAGCAUGUAAGCUCAUUGAGCAGGGCCCUCAACCCCUCUGUUCCUGUGCGUCCAACUUGUCUGGUUACAACUACAUUUGUUCGUCCACCCACUGUAAAGCGCUGCGGAAUUUAUUGGCACUU